CUCAUUGUUGUACCUGUCAAUGCUGGGGAACAAUCCUUCUGUACGUUGUGUAAAUAUAUGUCACUAUGAUUGAUUUAAUAAACAAGCUGACUGGCCAAUAGUUGAACAGGAUAAAGUUAGGUGGGAAAGCCAAACUGAGAAGGAUGGGAUGAGGAAAGG